AUUGAACGCUGGCGGCAGGCUUAACACAUGCAAGUCGAACGAGUGGCGGACGGGUGAGUAAUGCUUGGGAAUCUGGCUAAUGGCGGGGGAUAACUACUGGAAACUGUGGCUAAUACCGCAUACCAUAGGAUGAGCCCAUGUGGGAUUAGCUAGUUGGUGGGGUAAAGGCUCACCAAGGCGACGAUCCCUAGCUGGUCUGAGAGGAUGACCAGCCACACUGGGACUGAGACACGGCCCAGACUCCUACGGGAGGCAGCAGUGGGGAAUAUUGCGCAAUGGGGGCAACCUGACGCAGCCAUGCCGCGUGAAUGAAGAAGGCCUUCGGGUUGUAAAGUUCUUUCGGUAGCGAAGCGUUAUCUACAUAAGAAGCACCGGCUAACUCCGUGCCAGCCGCCGCGGUAAUAC
rnacentral:rRNA from 1 species